rnacentral:rRNA from 1 species
GACGAACGCUGGCGGCGUGCUUAACACAUGCAAGUCGAGCGAUGAAGCACCUUCGGGUGUGAAUUAGCGGUGAACGGGUGAGGAACACGUGAGGAAUCUGCCUUCAACACUGGGAUAACUCCGGGAAACCGGGGCUAAUACCGGAUAUGAAACCUGCGGGCAUCCGCGGGUUUGGAAAGUUUUUCGGUUGAAGAUGAUCUCGCGGCCUAUCAGCUUGUUGGUGAGGUAAUGGCUCACCAAGGCGACGACGGGUAGCCGGCCUGAGAGGGCGACCGGCCACACUGGGACUGAGACACGGCCCAGACUCCUACGGGAGGCAGCAGUGGGGAAUAUUGGGCAAUGGAGGAAACUCUGACCCAGCGACGCCGCGUGCGGGAUGAAGGCCUUCGGGUUGUAAACCGCUUUCAGCAGGGAAGAAGCGAAAGUGACGGUACCUGCAGAAGGAGCACCGGCUAACUAUGUGCCAGCAGCCGCGGUAA